rnacentral:rRNA from 1 species
GAUGAACGCUAGCGGCAGGCCUAAUACAUGCAAGCCGAGGGGUGUUAUGGUAGCAAUAUCAUAAUGACCGGCGGACGGGUGCGUAACGCGUACGCAACUUACCCUAUACAGGAGGAUAGCUUUCGGAAACGAGAAUUAAUACUCCAUAAAAUUACCAUGAGGCAUCUUGUGGUAAUUAAAGAUGAGUCGGUAUAGGAUGGGCGUGCGUCCGAUUAGUUAGUUGGUGCGGUAACGGCGUACCAAGACGAUGAUCGGUAGGGGUUCUGAGAGGAAGAUCCCCCACACGGGCACUGAGACACGGGCCCGACUCCUACGGGAGGCAGCAGUAAGGAAUAUUGGACAAUGGGUGGAAGCCUGAUCCAGCCAUGCCGCGUGCAGGAAGAAGGUCCUAUGGAUUGUAAACUGCUUUUGCAGGGGAGAAAUAAGGUGAUUUUAUCACCGAUGAUAGUACCUUGCGAAUAAGCAUCGGCUAACUUCGUGCCAGCAGCCGCGGUAAGACGAAGGAUGCGAGCGUUAUCCGGAUUCACUGGGUUUAAAGGGUGCGUAGGCGGGUUAAGAAGUCUCAAGUUAAAGAUUGGUGCUUAACAUCAGGAUUGCUUGAGAUACUCUUAAUCUUGAGAUAGUGUGACGUUACUGGGAUAUGGCAAGUAGAGGUGAAAUUCAUAGAUAUGCCAUAGAACACCGAAAGCGAAGGCAGGUAACGAAUACUGAUCUGACGCUGAGAGCACGAAAGCGUGGGGAUCAAACAGGAUUAGAUACCCUGGUAGUCCACGCUGUAAACGAUGAUGACUUGUUGUUCGGGACGUAAGUUCUGAGUGACAAAGCGAAAGCGAUAAGUCAUCCACCUGGGGAGUACGCCGGCAACGGUGAAACUCAAAGGAAUUGGCGGGGGCCCGCACAAGCGGAGGAGCAUGUGGUUUAAUUCGAUGGUACGCGAGGAACCUUACCUGGGCUUGAAAGUUAGGGACGGACGCUGAAAGGUGUCUUUCGUAGCAAUACGACCCGAAACUAGGUGCUGCAUGGCUGUCGUCAGCUCGUGCCGUGAGGUGUUUGGUUAAGUCCAUAAACGAGCGCAACCCCUAUUGUUAGUUGCCAACAGGUAAAGCUGGGGACUCUAACAAAACUGCUUCGGUAACGGAGAGGAAGGAGGGGAUGACGUCAAGUCAUCACGGCCCUUACGUCCAGGGCUACACACGUGCUACAAUGGUAGAUAACAGAGGGCAGCGAACUUGUAAAAGGGAGCCAAUCCCCUAAACUCUACCCCAGUUCGGAUUGAGGUCUGCAACUCGACCUCAUGAAGCUGGAUUCGCUAGUAAUCGCGCAUCAGCCACGGCGCGGUGAAUACGUUCCCGGGCCUUGCACACACCGCCCGUCAAGCCAUGGGAGUCGGGGGUGCCUAAAGUUGAUUCCCGAAAGGGGUUGCCUAGGGCAAAACCGAUGACUGGGGC